GAUGAAGGAACGUAGCGAAAUGCGAUAAGUAAUGUGAAUUGCAGAAUUCAGUGAAUCAUCGAAUCUUUGAACGCACCUUGCACCCUUUGGCAUUCUGAAGGGUAUGCUCGUUUGAGUGUCAUUGUACUCUCACACUCCCGAUCUUUGCAUUGGGAGCAGUGGACUUGGGUUUGCUGCUUCACCGUCGCUUACCUCAAAUAGGUUAGUGCAACUCUUGGUUGGACAUAGUACGGCGUGAUAAGUGUUCUUCGCCGGUGCCUCGCAAAGAGGGUGGCCGAUCGGGAUGUUGUGCUCCAAACCGUCUUCGGACAAUCUCUGACGACUUGACCUCAAAUCGAGUAAGACUACCCGCUGAACUUAAGCAUAUCAAUAAGCGGAGGA
rnacentral:misc_RNA from 1 species